GACGAACGCUGGCGGCGUGCCUAAUACAUGCAAGUCGAACGCAGUGGGGACGGGUGAGUAACACGUGGGUAACCUCCCAUCUGAGUGGAUAACACUUGGCAACAGGUGCUAAACCGAUACUGAUGGAUGGACCCGCGGUGCAUUAGCUAGUUGGUGGGGGAGCGGCUCACCAAGGCCACGAUGCAUAGCUGACCUGAGAGGGCGAUCGGCCACACUGGGACUGAGACACGGCCCAGACUCCUACGGGAGGCAGCAGUAGGGAAUCUUCGGCAAUGGACGAAAGCCUGACCGAGCAACGCCGCGUGAGUGAAGAAGGUUUUCGGAUCGUAAAGCUCUGUUGUUAGAGAAGCGGUAUCUAACCAGAAAGCCACGGCUAACUACGUGCCAGCAGCCGCGGUAAUUC
rnacentral:rRNA from 1 species